rnacentral:rRNA from 1 species
AUGUACUAUGAGACUAAUGAUUUGGGUCUGAUAUUCCAUUUGCCUCUGUCUCCCGAGGCCCUCAAUGAGUUACACUCCAUAGACAUUCUAAAACUGCCGCAAAUUCUUGAGACUGAAAGUACUGAUCAAUGGUCAUACCCAUGGGGACCUGUUUAUUCGGCCAAAAAAUUCUACACUCACUGUCAUAGACAAAUCACCUGUCCGAAGCCUUUCAAAUGGAUAUGGAAAUCAAAGCUCCAAAUGAAACUAAAGGUGUUCAUGUGGUUUCUUUUAGCUAAUAGACUGAACACAAGGAACAUGCUGAAAAGAGGACAUUUUCAUGUUGGAGAUAAUAUUGAAACAUGCGUCCUAUGCACUGCUCACGAGGAAGAGACCAUUGAUCACUUGAUCUUUAAUUGUCCUUUCAGCCAAACUUGUUGGUCUAAGAUUGGUAUCUCAUACAACUUUGGCAUCUCACGGAUUGAGGCCACAAUUAGGGCAAAGGAAAUUUAUUCUAGCAGACUUUUAUUUGAAAUCUUCACCAUUACUGCUUGGAAUAUUUGGAAGGAGAGAGAUAACUUCAUCUUCAAUCAGAUCAAUCCUUCAUAUAGAGCUUGGCCUGAGAGAACUAGGGCUGAUCUUACUUGGCUUAGAUACAGAGUGUCCCCUGAUCUCAGUGCUUAUAUCACUUCUUUUGUAAAUUCACUUUAG